rnacentral:lncRNA from 1 species
CUUAAGUAAAGUUCAGUGCAAUUCGCACCAGAUCGGCCCAUCAGUGAUGCAUCGACAUACGAACUGAAUCCACCAGAAUGGCGAGUGUGCAACAGUGAAACUGCCCAUCCUGCUUGUCCGGGUGCGGCCAUAGCUAAGCGAUUCAUCCGGCAUAAAGUUUCUUGAGUGCAGGCGGUGUUUCCAAGUGCAGCGUCUUGCUCCCACAAUUCAUGGACCAUGCUCAACCAAGUUGGACCAUCUAGCAGCACUGUAAAGGAGCAAUAUAGAAGCUAUUUAAAUGUUUCACAUAAGAGGGUAAUUUACUGCCGAAUAACUUGGUGCUAACCCUUAAAGAUUUACCAUCAGAGAGAUCGUUUUCAUCCAUGCUACGCCGACCCGCAACUGUGGUCGAUCGGAUGUAGAGGAAAAAGGCCAACAAACCCAACAAUCCCACCAACAGAAUCGUCUUUCCCCGAGUAUCCGGAUAUCCAUCAUCUUCGCCAUACUUUACUCCGCCCGGAACUCCAUACUUCUUCUCUUUAAGAAUGCCGUUUGAAUCUGAACUGGUCGACGCGUGAUAAGAGUCGGGAUCAUUGUACCGAACGUUGAGCCGAUUUUUAUCGUGCCUUUGAGUAAUCUGCUCGUUGUUGUCGAAGUAAUCGUCGCGACUAGUUAACGAAUGAAUAUCAAACAAGCUUGAAUCGUCAAUGGCGCGGGCCGCCGAGACUUUUUCGCCUUCGCCACCAACAUUAGUGCUGGCGUGUUCGGUAUCGCCGUAAUCCAGAAUGGAUUCGUCCUCGCUUACGUAAGCUUCAACGUUAUAACCGUCAUCUUCCCAGUAGAUGCCAGGUGAAUCCCAACCGUCCGAUGCUCCGUAACAAUUCACCGUCGUGUCCACCUUCACCACCGACGCUCUUUCCUCAGAAGAAGUAUCAUCGGAAGCUUUUUUAUCUUCAUCUUUCAUCUUUUGAUCGUUGUUUUCGCCGUUUUCCUCAUCACUUCGACGAGUGUUACUGAUUCGACGUUUUUUAGACGAACUGAUUUUGCGGCCAGCUUGGAAGUCAUCUGGUUCACUGGCCGUCCGAAGACCAAGGAUCCGUGGAUCGCUUAGAAUGCGCUUGGCUAAUUUGCUGACAACUUUGAGGACAUCGCCGUUAAUGCAAUCGCCAUUCAAACAAAAAUCAGAGAAUUCGCUACGCGCUACUCUGAAAUGUCGGCUGUUGGGUUCUUUGCCGGUCCCUGUAUCAGACAUGGCGAGGAAAUCGCCACUUUCAGGUUGGUUCUCUGCAGGAUGAUCACUGUUGAAUGUCGGCCGAGAAGUGGCCGUUAGACUGUCAGCCAUGAUCAGCAUCCGAGCUGAAAGCAUGACUAUAAAUACUGUAGCCACCCACCGAUGGCGGCUCUUUCUUCGUUGUUUCGACGGCACUGUCAAUGGUCGAUGCAUCACAAUCUGAUCGAUUGCACCAGCGAAUUCUAUCAAAUAAUGAAGACUGAAAGAUAUUACAAUCAAACAAACCCCUUUUAAAAAUAUAGAAGCGCACUGUUGAAAUUGAUUGGAAGACGGGCUGGACAUCGACCGAUCAACCGGACAGCUCAAUGCAAACUGACGAUCCUUGUGAUUGAAAAACAAACACAGUGUCUGAGAGGCGUUACCUUUAAACUCUAUGACAUAGAGGAGGAGUCUAGCCUGUUCUCGCCAGCCCUCCGGAAGAGGUCGAUGACCACUAUUCACGCAUGAACUUAUCAUCCAGUAAUUGGUAAAAAAAUACAGACCACAUCUACGACCAUCUCGUCAGUUUCCAUUAGUGCGCAAAUGUAAACGUUUACACCAUCCGCUGGAGGCCAUAAUCCGAUCACGAAAAACAUUUUUCCGCAUUACCUACGUCCUGCUCGGAGAGAAGCUCUUCGAGAGAGAGAAGAUCGUCGUCGUUGUCAUCAUCCGAUCUCUUUUUACGACGUCCUGCUAUUGUGGUGCUGAGCAUUUUGACCAAGAAGAGAAACAGGAGGCCUAGUGCGAUGAGGGAGAUGAUGGACAAGUAAUCCUUUUGAUGUCCACAGCAAGUGUCGUAGCCGUAAUUGGAGUAUCCUCCUCCGCCGCCGUAUCCUCCUCCGCCGCCGUAACCUCCGUAAUCUCCACCUCCACCAUAGCCGUAGUCAUCUCGUGGUCUUCCCGCAAUGGCGCGAGAUGAUGACAUCCAUCCAGUUUCCAUCACAUCGGUCGAGCGUUUGACGACCGGAUCGCUUCGCAAGAUUCCCAUCAGUGGCCGGACAAAUGUCAACAUCCGCUUCAACUCGUACUCAGAGUCCAUCAGACUCUCUUGGUCGUCGGCAUCGGCCUGAUGGCCCAACGGUCCCAACACGAACAAGACACAAGUGCCGAACCCCAAAAAGGUACUCAAUUUUGUCAUUGUUUUAAAAACAAAAUCGCACAGAAUGUACGUAAGCGAAAACUCGACUGAGGUGAAUGGGUACAGAGUGUUAGAUCUUAGACUGAACACUGGCACUACGGACAAUGCAGACGGAGCGUGAAAGGGAAUCUCUUCGAACGACUGCACGUUUGAAACCAGUUGCUUCAAAGACGUUCAGAGGCAAAAUGCAAAAGGGAAGCUCCUCCUUAAUCGCAUUCAAGACUUUGCUCCUCCCCUAUAGUGAGCCUGUGUUAAUAAGUUGACCCUCAAAGGUAAUUCAUCCACUUUCGUCCGUCCCGUUAGUUGAAAACACCAUGGGCCCAACCCAACGAUGGAGCAGGCCCACCAGCAAACAGCAAUUUAGCUGCGCAAAUUUGAAUUCGGGAGUUUGCAAUUUAUGGCAGGCGAAUUACAAUUGAACGCGACCGAAGCUUAGUGCCAAACGAGUUAUACAGGCUGUUUCCAACCGAUCGUUUGUUGCUUCGACGACCCGCGACCGUGGUGCUGGCGAUCGCGAUCAAAUAGAGUAACAACCCCGCAAGACCAAGAAGAGCCAACAAUGGAAGAAGAUCGUCUUUCUUAUCGCAACAUCCGCCGCCGUAACCGCCCCCGUAACUACUUCCGCCGUAGCCGUAACUAUCACGAUCGACGUAGUCAUUGCGAUUGAAUCUGUUAUUGCGAUUGAAAUCGCCGAACGAGAGAUCGUAAUAAUUUCUUUUGUAGGAUCGAGCAGAGCGGCCAGAUGAUCUUGUUGCAUUGCUCCUCCUCAGGAUCGCCAUCAACGGUGUGACGUAAUUCAACAUCCACUUGAGUUCACGUUCCGAUUCAAGCCCAAUGUCAACUGUUGAUUUCUCUUCCGGCUGGGCACCGGCCUCGGCAGCCCCGACCAUUCCAUUCUGGGGGCUCGAAUGAGAAAUGAUGGCCACCGAACAAAUCAACGCAGUUAAAACAACAACUAAUUUCCUCAUUAUAGAUUCUGAGAACCGACGCCGCAAUCGUCCCACUAGCGAGUGAAGACCAGAACCAUUUCCAACCCCGGCCAGCCUUUCUACACGCCCUACAUCAAUUAUAGGAUCGGACACUGUAACGGUUUUUCUGACGCCAAUUCUAUUCCUUGACUCCGCCUUUUCCUCCUAGGAAUGGUUCCAUCGCUUCACCUCGAAUUAUCUUAUACCAACGGUCAUUGUUUUAAUAUAACACCGGACAUUUUUUUUUGUAAGAUUUAAAACUUUUGGCGAAAUAUUGACUUACUUUCUUCUUCUUCGUUGGACGAUGUGACCAUCCGUCGGCGUCGACCGCUUGUGACGGUGGCGUUGAGCAGGAAAAACAGGAAGUACGAGACGGCCAGCAGGACGAAUCCAGGCACGAAAGUGUGAAAGUCCAAUUUGCUGCAACAUCCACCUUCUUCGUAACCUCCCGACGAAGAAUAGUCGCCCCCUCCGCCGUAAGAACUUCGGGUGUAGUCACUGUCGAUCAUGGAUCGCAAAUUUUGAAUGCCGAGCAUGAUUUCCUCUCCCAUCCGGCUGAAUGGAUCCAUUGCGGAGGGCUGUCGCUGAGGUCUUGGACCUAAACCUGGCCUGAUUCCAUUAUCAUACAAACUUUUUUAAAAACUAUUUCUGACAUAAGAUUUAAUCCCUCCACAAUUUUACCUUAGGAUAAACUCGUUGCCAUUGUAUUGCUCGAAUUCAUCCAUGUCGGGUCCUGCCUGGCCUUGUCCGUCGAUGACAAUAACCGUCAAAAACCACCAAAUCAGCACGUUUCUACGACCACUGUUGAAAUUCAUCUUUUCUUUGGCGAGUUACUUGGCCGUUAAGUGUUCAGAUGGAAAACAGUUGUCACUAUGACUGACGUCAACAAUUCGAAACUUGGCCCCGACUGCCUUUGCAAUUAAAAAAACGCAAAAAAAUAAGAGAAAAUGAGAGAAACGGUAAAAUCAACUGGUCGCGAGAGAGCGCAUGUUUCAGUGCACCGGGCCUCGUUCCAGUAGAGACUGGCGGGAUGUUUCCAUCUUUCAGUGUUGGCCUGCACGAACAGCUCGUACCCGCCCAAAAAUAAUACAUUUUUUUCUUUUUUACUACAAUUUAAAUUCAUAAAAAAAAAGAACCGCUAUAUUUUAGGCAUUAGAUGCGCAACAACUUUUCUCCCGCCUUAUUUCUAUCUCGUUUCGAAUUUUUGAUGUAGAGAUGCAUUACAAGAGAGUUAAAGGCGAUUCGCUUCUCGUUCGUAAAAUAAAGCAGAAAAUACGAAAUGUUGUAUACUAGGAUACUGCCUAACAAUUGUAUGCCUGGAGUGUCGGCCUGUAAACGAGCCAUCGGGCGUGUUUUGAUGACUCGUCGCUCGCCACAGCCCAAAGAUUCUCAUCGUUCAUGUUGCUUUCUUCAUCAUCCAUCAAUCAUUGUACCACUAAUAAUUAUUAAUUCGUGCUGAGUGAUUUUUUGGUUGAUACUACUGUUACAUCCGCCAUUCAGAGGUCGUAGUACGUAUAUAACAGUGAAAUGGAAAAUCUGAGAUGCAAAAAAAUCCUGCUGAAACUUGGAACGGUUGUAUAUGCAAAGGUGGACAUAGACUUCAGUUAUUUCGACAUUGAUUUUUAUUUUUUUUUUGUUUUUUAAUUCUUAGGUAUUCUCACAUUAGAUGUGUAAUAAAGUUUU